GGACCGAAUCCAGGGCUUUGCACUUGCUAGAAAUUCUACAGGCCGGAGAGCUUGGAAAUCAUGUGUUUGGAGCACUGAAAGGCUACAAAUGGCAACAGUUGUAGAUUGCUAUGCCAACAGUGCUACCCCUCGAAAUCAAACAAGAAGCAACGACCUUCCAAGAGAAGCAGAAUGAGGAGAAGAGGAAAUUGGAUACUGAGCUACCACGUGGAUGUUGGGAAUGAAACCCAGGUGCUCUGGAAGAGCAGCCAAUGCUCUGAACCAGAAAAUCAUCUCUCCAGCUCCCAGAACACUCUUAACGCAAUCCUGUACCCAGGAAAGGAGGGAAGCUGAACACAAUGAAAAGAGCAGCAAAGAAUAACUAUCACUAAAAGGGCUUAUAAACAAGUGAGAAUUAGGAAAGAAUCAAUCACCAUUUAUUCUUAAGCCAUCAAGCACCUAAUGUGAAUAAGGGAGAAAGGAACCGACUUAGGUUAUUCAAAACAAGUGGAAGAGAGAAAACAAAGAAACAGACACUAGACUAGACUCUGAAUAUAAAUGCUACUAAUUUUCAAACUGAAAGAUGUAGACUAGAGGCUGAGGAGAUGGCUUAGUG